GCACUUCUGAGGAGUCUAACAACAGGGCGAAACGUCCGUCCAGUGU
rnacentral:hammerhead_ribozyme from 1 species